CUGUUAAAGAUAGAGUUUAUUAAAGAAGAGAUUGAAGACAUGAGUGAUCCAGAACCAUCCAGAAUAAAAACAUGAAGAUACUGAGGAACAAACAGACCAGGUGAGAGUGAAAGAGCAAAGACAAGAACUGAAUGAAGUGGAGGAGGAACAUCGUAACUUUACGAUUCAAAGAACAAAA